UUUUUGUUUAAAUGACAUCAAGUUGAGUUUUUGUCACCAGCAGCCAGAGUCCUAAUUAAUUAACAUUCAAAUUGUCGAUACAGAAAGGAAUACUUCUGAUUAAAAUAAGCAACACAUGCCCAGUAUCAUCCUUUUGCCCCUCCAUAUCCACACUCUGCUAGAAGGCCAACCGGUACUCGUCACUGUGUUCCCUCGCCCUCUGGAUUCCUGUUGAGUUAAGCCAAUGAGGAGCUCUAGCAGAAGACUGGAGGAAACCUGAAAGAAAGGUCAAGCAGGAAUGGCCCGAAGACCUUUGAGAAACAGAUGUCAGGGGUUGGCCCAGUGGCACAGGGGUUAAGUUUACACGUUCCGCUUUGGUGGCCCAAGGUUCACCGGUUUGGAUCCCAGGUGCGGACAUGGCACCACUUGAAUAUUCUACCUUGAUGAAUGUUCUAUGACUAUUCGAAAAUAAUAUGCAUCCUGCUUUUGUUGGCUGGAGUGUUCUAUAAACGUCAAUUUUGUCAGGUGAGUUGAUAGUAUUGCCUAAUCUUCUACAUUCUUAUUGCUUUUCUGUCUACUUU
rnacentral:lncRNA from 1 species